rnacentral:rRNA from 1 species
CCCGUAGGCACCAAGCGUUGUCCGGAUUUAUUGGGCGUAAAGAGCUCGUAGGCGGUUCAGUAAGUCGGGUGUGAAAACUCUGGGCUCAACCCAGAGACGCCACCCGAUACUGCUGUGACUUGAGUACGGUAGGGGAGUGGGGAAUUCCUGGUGUAGCGGUGAAAUGCGCAGAUAUCAGGAGGAACACCAGUGGCGAAGGCGCCACUCUGGGCCGUAACUGACGCUGAGGAGCGAAAGCGUGGGUAGCAAACAGG